CGCGUAGGCGGAUCGCUAAGUCAGGGGUGAAAUCCCAGGGCUCAACCCUGGAACUGCCUUUGAUACUGACGAUCUGGAGAUCGGGAGAGGUUGGUGGAAUUCCGAGUGUAGAGGUGAAAUUCGUAGAUAUUCGGAGGAACACCAGAAGCGAAGGCGGCCAACUGGCCCGAUACUGACGCUGAGGCGCGAAAGCGUGGGAGCAAACA
rnacentral:rRNA from 1 species